rnacentral:lncRNA from 1 species
AUAGUUUUGUUUAUUUUACAAGCAAUUAAUUCAAAAUUUGAACUAUUGUUUUCUCUUUCUUCUGCACCAGGCUUUCUUACCAGGAUCGCCUCCCCAGUCAGAGUAGUUUCACUCAGUACUGAAGGGCCAGUGUCUGUUCCACAACAGGAGUGGAUCCACGGUGAUGUGAUGAUUAAGCAUCCCAGGUUCUCUUCUUCAGUAACUUUGGAUUUGGAUUCUAGGGGGAAAAAAAAGAUCGGUAAUCUGGUGAUUUUUAGGAGGAGCUUUUAGCUCCUUUGAAAGCACAGGGACGUACGUUUAGAACAAUCUUUGAAGUGAUGCUGAACGAGGACACCAAACGUGGUAAGAACUGGAAUUUAUGGUGUGCAUGUAGAUAAAGGAUGAUGAAGUUCUCAAGCAAACGUGGUAAGAACUGGAAUUUAUGGUGUAGAUAA